rnacentral:rRNA from 1 species
AUUGAACGCUGGCGGCAUGCUUUACACAUGCAAGUCGAACGGUAACAGGCCGCAAGGUGCUGACGAGUGGCGAACGGGUGAGUAACGCAUCGGAACGUGCCCAGUCGUGGGGGAUAACUGCGCGAAAGAGCAGCUAAUACCGCAUACGAUCUAUGGAUGAAAGCGGGGGACCGUAAGGCCUCGCGCGAUUGGAGUGGCCGAUGUCAGAUUCGGUAGUUGGUGGGGUAAAGGCUCACCAAGCCAACGAUCUGUAGCUGGUCUGAGAGGACGACCAGCCACACUGGGACUGAGACACGGCCCAGACUCCUACGGGAGGCAGCAGUGGGGAAUUUUGGACAAUGGGGGCAACCCUGAUCCAGCAAUGCCGCGUGCAGGAAGAAGGCCUUCGGGUUGUAAACUGCUUUUGUACGGAACGAAACGGUCUGGGUUAAUACCCUGGGCUAAUGACGGUACCGUAAGAAUAAGCACCGGCUAACUACGUGCCAGCAGCCGCGGUAACAC